UGACCGGAUGCCGAUCUCGAAAACCUGUCCCAGUUCGGACUGGAGUCUGCAACCCGACUCCACGAAGUUGGAUUCGCUAGUAAUCGCGCAUCAGCCAUGGCGCGGUGAAUACGUUCCCGGGCCUUGUACACACCGCCCGUCAAGCCAUGGGAGCCGGGGGCGCCUGAAGUCCGGGACCGCGAGGACCGGCCUAGGGCGAAACUGGUGACUGGGGCUAAGUCGUAACAAGGUACC
rnacentral:rRNA from 1 species